rnacentral:lncRNA from 1 species
GUUAAAUCAGCCAGUACUGAAAUUUUUUAGAUAUGCCGUUUGAAUUAACUCUGUGGCCUAAGUCAAAUUACCUAUGAAAACCCCUUAGUCAUCAGUGCUAUGCACCUAAAUUGGAGAAACACAUCUGGUAUUUAAGAGGACAGAUUUAAUGUUAAAUGUGGACUCUUGGAGAAUCUAGACAGCCAACAGCCACUUGUUCAUUCCUGACUUCUUAAAGCUUCCAUUAUUAACAGCUCUGCAUUCCAUUACUCACCACAGAAGAGAUAAAAUAAUCUAAAUUAAAUAUAAAUUAAGUGUGUGUCUGUUUGUGUGUGGUAACCCUUCUAAAUUACUAAAACAGAUUAAUACCAAUUUUUUUUUGUCAAACAUAUAAUCCCACAUUUCUGUUACCUGAUGAGCCAUUUAAACAUUUAUGCAUAUUUUUUUUUUGCCAUUUUUAAUGCAUGCUUUCCUGUAUAAAAGUUUUCUCAUUCAAGAGGGUUGAUGUUAUAACAGUAACUUAAAGGAUAUUAGGAUACCUGUUUUCUCAUGGAACAUUUCUGAAAAUAUCUUCAAUGAUAAAGAUACUUAUUUCUCUAGACAAGUUCUAAAACUGUUAAACAAGAUAGUCUGGGCGUGGUGGCUCACAGCUGUAAUCCCAGCACUUUGGGAGGCCGAGACGGGGUUUCACCGUGUUAGCCAGGAUGGUCUCGAUCUCCUGACCUCGUGAUCCGCCCGUCUCGGCCUCCCAAAGUGCUGGGAUUACAGGCUUGAGCCACCGCGCCCGGCCUAAGUAAUAUUUUUAAGGGUCAGAAAGUUCGAGGGCCUCAUCAGCAGACACUCAUGCUUCUAUUUUUCUUGUUUUAGCCAACAUUUCUGAAACUUUGAGAAAAAACUUUCAUAUAUCUGUAGAAUCCUAAGUUCCUAAAGCAUAUAAUGAAGAACCAAUUCUAUUGUAAUCAUCUGCAGCACUUUUGUGGGUUCUUGUCAUUCUACCAGAGUUAACAGAUGCAUCCUUAACUCAGUUAUGAUAUUCUAAAAGAAAUGUUCAUUCAUGUUCAAAGAAAUUAUCUACAUCCUUUUCUCCUGAAACAAUUACUCCAUCUGCUGAUUUAACCAUGUUUUUAAAGAAAUCUUCAAGUUUCUCUUUUUAUUUGUCCUCGCACACUCAAAUUUUGAUUAUAUUCCAAGAAGACAUGGAAAUUUGAAUAUUUUCUCAAAAUAGGAUGUGCUGUCACAUGACAUAGGAACACUUCAUGCAUCGCAACUGUCUUCUUGAAUAUUCCCAAAUAUUCAGCUUCCAGUUCCUGUUUCAUCUUUGUGAAUUCUUCCUUUGUCAUUGACCCUUCUUCUGCAAGCUUCUGUACUUUUUCCUUUGAAGCAUCAAAAUCAGGUCUUGGUGGUGCUGGUGAAAUGAUGUAACCUGCAUAGUCUUCAUUUUUAACAAAGCAAUCGUGAUGCCAGAUAAAUUGCUUGUGUUGCUGAACAACAGAAAACUCACUUUGUUUAAAAUUUGGCAAUAAACUUUUUGUGUGAACAGUGAAUU